CCCACAGCCGGGAGACGGGUGUCAGCCAUAUGGGGGGCUUGGAGCGCGGCAGCUCGCGAGGCCGGCGAGAGGCGCGCGGAGGAACCCCUCAAUGAUACGAUGACGACACGACAGAUGGUCAAGUCGCUGUCGCGAGGCCCCUCCGAUGAUGAAACACGGUAAGCCGAGCACGACCAGACAGGCACCGUCGAGGAGCGACGCAGGUACAAACCUCACGUUCGUGACGGAGUCUCUAGCCGCAACAAGGCCGCGGACGGAAGGUUUUCCCACCAUUCAGCUGAGCUCACAAAGAGCUGACUGAUAAAAAAAACAAAAAACAAGGUGAAAUGGAUGAAGGCACUUGGUAUUUCUUCCCUUCUCUGUGUGAAAGGCCGUAUUUUCUGGUUGGGAAAUGACCAUGCACCAUGAAUUAUGGAUUUUCUUUUGUGGUUUUACAGCUGAAUUAUUCUGGCUGUGUUUGUGAGGUUAAUGUCCUCGUCAUUUUCGAAAGGAGCAGCUCCAGAGGGCACUACAUCACUGUGCGCCGAGAGAAAUGUGUAAUAUGCAACGGCAACGCAGGGACAUGACAAAGUGCUGAGGUGUCUUUUCCACAGAAGCGCGUCUACGCAUGUCGUGUAUUCAUAUUUGAUACCUGCUCAAUCUGAGUGAGGGGGAAAUUAAUACUACAAUCACUUUCAAAAAAUAGCUAGAGAGAGUUUUAUCUGCUUCAACAACGGAAGAAGCAUUCGUUCUUCACAGCGGACACUCAAAGAGGUUCCCUUUGGAUAUUAACUAUGAUACAAGCUGCGACUGCUAAAAUUCACCCUCACUCACUCACUCACUGUGGGCUUUUUUCUGUCAGCCAUGCUCUCGCCUAAGGCGGUGAGGUUUCCUCCCUGUCAAUCAUUUCAUUUCGCGGCCUCUGUGGCGUCCGUGGAGAUUCUCUAAGUGGCCGUAUCUAUGACAAGCAGAUAAACCAUUUUCCAGCCACACUUUAUUUUGAAAUUUGGUGUUCCUUCGGUGAAAUAUCACACUUCCAGGGCGAGCACUCACGACAAACAAAGACAACCACCUCUUUGUCUUCACUUCAUGCAGCUUUAAACUUGGUCACAGUAAUCGGUACAGAGUGCAAUGUGCAAAACGUUUCCCUGGUAUCCUCUUUCAAAAUGGACUUUUAUUUCCUUUUACAAAUAUGGGCAAAAAUUGUUUGCAGAGGCAAUUUUUCACAAGGGGAGGUUCUGCCUUGUUGCUGCUGUGCAGCUGCUUGCACUGGACCAGUCAAGUCAAAUUGCGUCGCUGUGAGGAAGAAAACACUUUGCAAGAACAAUCAAACGCCUGCUGCCACAUCCAAAUCUAAAGGACACGACGGUGCGCGGGAUUUGCAUCCAGCAUAGGCUGCACCUGCACCUGCAGCUCAUUGCAGCACCCGCAGUAGGGUGACGUAAUGCGAGGGGUGAACGCAACUCGACUCAGGCGCGCUGCAGUCAGUGGACAUUUGUCUGAGACUCUAAGGUCAUCGACUUUUGGUCAAAGUAAGAUUUCUGUUUUUUGUUUUUUUGGUUUUACGUGCACUGUUUUGGUUUACUGCUGUCUUCAACAGGGAAGCUCUCAAAAGUCGCUGUGCACUUCACGCCCCGCCACCAGCAGACGAACAGACGCAGUGAGCAACUAGCCGGUGAGCAUAUCGGAGGAUUCAGAUGAAGUUAGUACCUGUUUGAAUGAUAUAGACCCGACUUUUCCCUUAAAGAGGAGAGAGGAUAAAGUGUUUCAGUCCAGUGAAUAUCCGUCCAGGUGGAGAAACCAAACCGGCCUAAACUCUUCUUUAGCAACCUUCAAAGAAUCGGUUGUGAAAAAUAUUGUUCGCAGCUCCCGGUGUCCUCAUUCAUUUGGAUCUGACAUUAUUGCCUUGUGCCUCAUCCUCCCCACCACACGCAGCCGCCCGCCCCCACCGUCUAGUUCCCAGGUCACUGAUUGGUAAUCGGAGCUGUCUGACAGAAAGUGCCAACCUCCGUUGCUGUUGCCGCGCUCUGUCUGUUGUGAUGUGGAGAUGCGUGUUCAUUGGUAAUUUGCAUAAAUAACCCUUUGGGGGGAAUGAGCGACCCCGGGGCACUUGAUCCUCCUCCAACGGUCCAGUCCGUCCUUGGUGAUGAUCAGUGUGGAGAAAUGAUUAGAAGAGGCGGGGGGGGGGGGGGGGACCCACACUGCACGGCUGACUUCCAAGAGACAAUUAUUGCAUGAAAGAGUGGAAUUCUUUCAGGCUUUUCCUCUAAACUUGUCAUUUCUUGCAACCCCGAAACACAUUUCAACAAUGUCCCUGCUUGAGGAACAAUGACAUCCUCUGAAGCACACGGACUUGCGCGUUCAUCGCUGGAUGUUUAUACCGGCAGCCGCAAUGUCACGUCAAAGCCCAAGGUUCUGAAUCUGUGGCACUUGUUGACAGCAUCUCAGACUGGAGUUAAUUGGUGUAGAUGACCUGUCAAACCGGCAGCCUCGGGAGCAGAUGGAGCAGAAGCCUUGAGGUUGAUCAUCGCGGCUAUUAAUAGCAUCAACCGGCUGGAGCCUUUGGGCGAGCGGGAGGAGCAAAUACUUCAUGCAAAAUCCAAUCCUUCACCAGAACUGUGGGAUAACCCCGACAUGUAUUAUUCAGUGUUGUCUUUCCCUUGCCUGAAGAAACCUGUCAGCUUUUUGUGUUUGACCUGCUGUCUCCAGACGUCCUGCUUCCUAAGCCACGCUGCUGUUGAUUUACAGCUCUAUAGAUUUGACAAGGAAUUCUAAAAAUGUAGGGUGAAGAGGUGGCUGGCAGAUUUCACAGUGACACUUGGGUACAAAGCCUAAUGCAUGUUUUUGGUUCUGACCGAUUCAAUAUCGAGUCCAUUUCAAUGUUAGUGUACUUUGUAUGCACAAAGCCGGACUCCCACUUGUAAUUACCAGCAUCAGUCAGAAGCUGCACGUUUUUGUGGCAUGGGAAAAUUAAAUUAUUUUGUGUUUGACUUCUAACUUAAAGCAGAAGCUGCUCCGAUUCACAACUCGCCUGUUGAAUAAAAGGUUUGAUCCCAGUUGAUAAACUCUAUACAUCUUAAGUAAUCAGCGCCGGUUUCAUCUUAGGGACGUUCAAAGACAUGAUACAUAUCAUCUAAGAAAAACAUGAGACACAGUAGUCAAUUAGCAGUCUCACUAAAGAAGAGAAUCUGCACUAUUGAAUAUUGGAAACAAAUAGUACGUAACAUAAUUGGUUUAUCAGUAAAAGUGUUUCUUUUUCUCUGUGGCAGACUGACAUAUUUUCCUCUCAAAUGAUACAUCUAUUAUUUAUUUCACUCAAAAGAGUGUGGCAUCUAUGUUGACUUACCAUACAUGCAUGGUCUAUUGAGGUCUUGUUUCCCAGACAGCAAAAUUAAACUUCUGUCACAACAUAUGCCUGCCUCCUCGGCCCGAGUCUGGCUCACAUAAUUCCACAUCUGGGCCGAUUCCGGCUGCUCUCCUCCAGUGUUGGUUGACAGCCAGAAAGAGUUUCUGUUCCUGUCCCAGAAUCGGUCCAGAUAUGGAAGAAGCAUUUGACAGUCACGCUGUAUGAAGGGGCUACUUGGGCCGGGGAAAUGGGCAUAUGUUGAGCCAGAAAAAACACAAAUAUGUGGCCCGAGUAUUGGCAAAAAGAAUAAUCUUGCUCUCUGGGUUCGGAGAGCAAUGACUUGAUUGUGAGCUGACUGAAUUGUGGGUUAAUCCCUGAGGCACCAAUACAGGACGACUGUACGUAUGUUUUGACUGUGAUGUAAUGUGAUGUCGAUGUCAGCUCCUUUGCUUUUGGAUGGAGAAAUCAAAAUGUUGCCAGAGAAUUACAGUAAAAUAUAUCUAAAAGACUACAACUAAGAGAAAUGACUUCUCCAAGGCGAAGCAUGAGGGAUUUAUUUAUUUUAUGAAUUAAUGAUUUCUUUAGUCUGGCAAAAGUCAAACUAUAGUGCAUCAUAAGUUCGAGUCCCUUGAACCUACAAUAUCUGUAUUAACUAUGAAUGAUUUGUCUUUGGAUAAUAUUUUUGGACUAACAGUAAAACACAAAGAAAUUAAUGAAACCAUACAUUUGAAAAUAUGUCACAUAUUUAGUGUUUUAUAUGUUUAUUUUUUGGAUAAAUGAUUGAAAUACAGUCAUUAUCAACACUGUCAUUAUUGUUAUUUUAACUUAAUUUGCUAUUUAUGAAUAAUCACCUCGUCUUUCAGCUCCAGAUGGGACAAACAACUGCUUUCUUAUAUUAAUACUGCUGAUAAGUCAUGAGCAUACUGCCAUCGAGUCCUUUCCCUCCAGCGUCUGAACCGUUUAUGUGUUGGGGAAACCAUGCAUUCAGCACAGACCCUGCGGUGGGCAGCCUAUUAAACACACAUCAUCGGUAACAUGGAUAAUUGCUUCACAUGCAGCAUUUGAUUCUGUGACAGACGGGGCUGAUUGACAGGACGAGCCCCGUCAAUACGCGGUGACUCAUCCUGCCCGAAAAUGAUUGAGUAGCUAAUAUUCAGCCUGCCUGUGUGUGUGUGUGUGUGUAUGUGUGUCCGAAUUAAAGCGUCGGCUUUGGGUGGAUUGGAAAAUGAAUAGUGACAAGUGUAGAAAAUGGGUUGUCAAAGGUGGGGCUGUUUAAUCCUACCUAGAGCAAAUAUCAACAUUGAUCAAAACCAACAGAAUAGCUUCGAUUUACUCAGAUGGAUUAAUUGAUCAAUGUUGGCGGGAGCAAGAUUGACAGACACUUAAACAAGUUGAACCCCUUUAUUAAAAUCCCUAAUCAUAAUAUAGACUCUGAGUUGAAUCUUAUGUCCAACAACUACACUGGGUGCCCUCCAGCUGGUUCCUCUGAAAGACAUGGAAAUAAGAGCAGACUUAACUUAAUCGAAUCUGAUUUAUUCAUCUCUGACAGCUCCGUUAGUUAGAGGGAUGUUAUCCAGAGUAAACACAAGACUUUAAAAUCUUCUCGAAGGAAAAAUGCAUCCUCGUUCUCCAACUUGAUUAGUCAUCUCUGAUUGUACCACCAUUACAUUACAUUUAAGCGUUUACAAUUAUUUUGUUAUCGCACCUUGUCGCCACAGUGGCGGCAGUUCCUCUAAAGUGAAUGUGGGCUCAUUUUAAAUAAGACGUGACCUGGGAAAUGCUUCAACAUUUCAUCUUUUCUAGACUACAUACAAAGAACAAAUAUUCAUUUUCAAAAAGUCCAAUCUGUCCAUGGACUGUCAUGUGAUAGUAGGAAGUGACAGUAUUCCAACAGGAACAAUAUGGUGUGUUAUUGACUGAUUAAACCUUUGAAAUAUAUUGCCUCAGAUUGAGAUCUUGUAUGGUAAUUCAAAUAAAAAUACUGAAUAAAAUACCCCCAAAAAGACCUUUAAAAGAAAAUAGCUCAAAUUUAAAAGGACUCUAACUCUGUAUUUGUAGGAUUUUAAGAGUCGACUCUUCAAAAAAGUUGCCACCCUUUCGGUGGCCAUGAAGUGCAAACCACGACAGCAACUCACACAAUACAACAGCAUUAGUGAGACUGAAACCGAAAGGGUAGAUACGUAUCGGACACUGAUCCUCUUCCUGAUUGGUCGCAGUGUCUGUCAUUUACAUUUACCAAUCAGGAAGAUUUGUCACAUUGCGUUAUCAUUCCAGUGAUAAUGCAGUGAGGGCAAUACAUAAGUUAAAAUCUAACAUAAAGUUAUAUUACAACAUUAUGUUUUUAUUGAGAUUAUUGAAAGCAGAGAGAGCUCUUCCCUGAUAUAAAACAUGUUCGGUCUCUUCCUGGGGCUGACAGUGCUGGUGGUAUCCUGCGGCACCAGACUGUGAAAUGAUGACAUUCUCACAGAUGUGCAUGAACGAGGAAGAGGCGAAGGAGACGGCUGGGUGGGUUGAUUUGCCACUUGGGUUUCUUGUCAAGUACAGCUGCUCCAGACUGUUUUUUUUGUGUGUGUGUGACUCACAUCAAACCUCCUUUAUUCAAAGUCAACGGCAGCAGCAGCUCUUUGUCCCCAACACUCUGGUCUUUUAUAUAAGCAGCAGAGCGAUGUCAAAUGUAACAGGCGCUAAGGAUUAAAAAAAAAAAUCUGUAUAUGUUUUGAGAAUGUUUUCCUAUGAAACAUAAAAACCUGACUUUGGGCUCAGGUGCACAGAGAAUGGCAUGCCUUGUAUCGGAUGGACGUGCACAUAGAUUUAUGAUUCAUGACAUGCAAUGUGGAGGGAAAUAUCAAUUUUUUUUUCUCUUCAUGCUUGGGAGGCAACGGCUCAUUUCCCUCAUGCAAAUGAAAGCUUCAAGCGAAAGGGGAAGGCAAAUGCUAUUGGAAGGCUGACAGUGCUGUGUGGAAAAUGUUGUGUGACCAGUGCUGAGACCAGCACAGUCCCCCAGUGUGUGCCACU